UACGUAGGGGCAAGCGUUGUCCGGAUUUAUUGGGCGUAAAGAGCGUGUAGGCGGCCUGGUAGGUCAGCUGUGAAAACUCGAGGCUCAACCUCGAGACGCCGGUUGAAACCAUCAGGCUAGAGUCCGGAAGAGGAGAGUGGAAUUCCCGGUGUAGCGGUGAAAUGCGCAGAUAUCGGGAAGAACACCCGUGGCUAAGGCGGCUCUCUAGUACGGUACUGACGCUGAGACACGAAAGCGUGGGGAGCGAACAGG
rnacentral:rRNA from 1 species